GCCCGCCGCCGCCUUCGCCUUCGCCUCCGCGCCGUCGACGCCGCCGCCACCGACGCCGACGCCUCCUCUUCCGCGCCCCCCUCGUUUUCAUUGAAAGCAAACAAGCAUCAUGGCGGCGGCCGCCGUCCCCCUCCCACCCCAGCCAGCGAGCGCCCCGCUCACCGCCGCCUCGCCAACAUCCUGGCUUCUCAUUGGCUGAUACUGCUGGGCGCGACCAUUCCGCGUCGGGAGGGGGUGGCUCUUCGCGGGCCGUCGCUUAAACCCGGUCUCCUUCCCCCCCCGGUCGCGGAGCAAUGAGCCGGCCCAGCGCGCUCCUACCCGCCCUCCCUGCAUCUCUUCCCGCUCUCUUUGCUCUUAGCCUUCUCCAUGCUUCCUAGCUCCUCCUCUUCCAAACGCCGUUCCUCCGCCUUUCAGCUGCUGUCUAUGUCGUCCACCUUUAUCUCUACUUUUCCCUUGAUUUUUUUUUUCCUCCUCUCCAUUCACUUUUCUUUUCUUUGGCCUGUCAGCCACUUUGAAGCACAGAUAGGCUCUCAGACUUUUAACCUAUCCAGUAUCUUGAUCUGCCCGGGGUGGGGGCGGGGGGGAAGGAACGUUCAAUCUUGAAUAGUUGACUAAUUGUUCCUGCCCUAACUGUGCAGAAAAAUUAAUCAGCAGGCAGUUUUUGUUUUGUUUUUACAGAAUCCUGGUUUAAGUUACGAUCCAAAGCCGCAUUCAAAGGCUUACACAGUCUAUCUAUUCUGGGCAAACUGUGGUUGCAGUGACAAAAUUGCCAUGAAGACUGCUCAUCAAAGCUGAUCCUGACAAUCAGAACUGCUAAGGAACCAGAAUGCUUGUGACAGAAGAUUCAUGGUUCUUCUAGCGGGACAAGCUGGCCCAUGAACACCUUGGAGAUUCUCUUGUCUUCUCCCAUCUUGCAUUAAGAACACUUGGAUUACAGAAGAACACUACUGCAUUGAGUGUUUAUGUGGCUUCUGGGAAUUCAAACUCAGACCCUUUGUGCUUUUGAGGUUCUUCCACGGAGCUACCAAACCCCACGGCGAGUCACCCACUGGCAUCUCGUGCUUACCAUCCCCAAAGGAGCUCAUGGACUUCUCCCCCACGGCCCCAUCUGCUGCCUAGGUUCCCUCAGCGGAUUGCAUGCUGUAUCAGGCAUGUCCAACCUGCUUUGAAGCUUGGUUGAUGCUGCACCUCGAAUACACCCACUUCUCAUUACCACUUCAACUAAAGUGACGUCCUGGGAUCCGGCCUUGACUCCUUCAACCCACUCUGCCGCUCUCAGAGAGGUGUUCUCCCAGUGCCGCUGUGAGACUACAUGCUCCCAGGUCUAGUGGUGGCUCCUGCUGCUUUGAGACCACAGCUCAAACUUGUCACCAGGUCCUCAGCACAUGAGAUGUGGAGCAGCUCCUUCCGCUCCCCCUGGGCCAACAGCCUCCAUCCCAGCCGGGCCAGCUUUCUGCAGCUGAGGAAUUUCCGAAGUGUCUUGGGUCACCUUCUGUGCCCAAGUCAGAGGCUUGCCUACUCUAAGAACACUGAGUUCUACAUCAUGGAUUAGGCCAACCCUAGAUUUAAAAUGUUCAAAAUAUUUGUCUGUCCCCAACAUACACAGAUUAUUUUCUUGUCUCUGUUUCCUAAAUAAUGCCAUAUAAUAAUUGUUUAUGAAGCCAACAAGAUGGCUCAGCAGGUAAAGGUGCUUGCCGACAGGCCUGAUGACCUGAGUUCAAUCUCCAGGACCCACAUGAUGGAAGGAGAGAACUGAC